AAAUACUAAGUGUCUGGGGAGUUCAGUUGUCUUGGCUGCGGUCUCACUUCAGUCAGCCAGAAAGGCGUCGAGGACAAGAGCAACACCCGGCAGAGAAACACGACCUCCUCGCUUCGACCUUCGGUAUCUAAGUUUUCAUUUCCAGACGUACCAGUGGAUGAGCCACAUGGCGGACGUGGCAGCUCUCUGCCUGCUGCUGGUGUUUCCACUGAGCAGCUCCCAGAGCACGCUGCGGUCUGAGCACCAGGCCCCGGCAGCAGCGCCUCCUCCUCCUCCUCCCCCACCGUACAUACAAGACUUACUGCGAAAAGAGGAAACUUCUCAUUUAAAUGCAAAGCUAACGUAUGCCAACGUAGACGAAGAUAACGCCAAAGUGGGUCUGUUCAUCGCUGCGGCCAUGGGAACCUUCGCUCUGAUGGCUGCAGUGUACUGUAUCUUCAACAAGUUCUACACCAAACACCAGUACCUGCACACGCAGCUUAACGAUGACUCAGGUAGAUUAAUAGAU
rnacentral:lncRNA from 1 species